CGCCUGAGUCCGCAGGGUUGAGUGUUGCGCAGGAGCAAACCAGCUCUUUUUCAACUCUGCCUAUCGGAUUUGACUGACGUUGAAGUGUCUUGGAGCGCCGUGGUAAUGUACCUACCUCAGAGGCAGGAGUCACAGGUUCGAGUCUCGCCUGUCAACAGAAGUGUGUUCUAACCUCAGAGGUUGAUCAGAAAAUAUCCUGAAAUCCAACACCAUCACAGAUGCUGCCAGACCUGCUCAGCUUUUCCAGCAACCUUGUUUUUGUUCCUGAUUUACAGCAUCCGCAGUUCUUUCGGUUUUUAGAAGAUUGUGGCACUUACCCUGAUGGAGCAGAGAAGACGUUGUGAAUAGUUGGCUAUUCCUCUGAAUCGUGGAGACCACACUAACCUCGGUGGCAACCUUCGACAAGGUUCCAGGGUGUGAUGGUGUGGUCUCCUCUGCCAGUCUUCUGGCAGUAGGACAGCAUACCACUGGCCCACCCCAUCGACUACAACUUCCAGAUCUCCAUUGGAGAACAGCUGUGCCAUUUUUCUCUUUUCUGACCUCUUCUGAAUGAAUGUUCAUCAUCUUUGGAAUGCCAGUUGUAUUUUAAACAUAGCACAUGUAGAAAGAAUUCUGGUUUUCCAGCAGAUAUCACUGAUUUGCAAGUUCUUCUGGGAAUGGCACAUGCUAAGCUAGAGUUGCGUGAGAACGGCUUCAUAGUGGUAGUGUAGCUAAUUAUUGAGGUGAAUUUGGUAUAAUAUGGUGAGAGAUUUCACUUAGCCUUGUGGUGAGAAAUCCUCCAAAACAUGUGAUGAAACUGACAGUUAGCCAAAAAAGCAUAAAAUUCAACCUAUUGCCUUUAACUCACUGUUCAAAAAUUGAAUUUCUGACCUCUUUAAUAAAAAUUCAGAUUUUCAUAGAA